UCCAAAUUCCUCGCCCUCACUAUCACCUCUGGCGUCUCUCUUAGCCGAACGCUUCUCCUCCUAAACCGAACAUAACUGCUAAUGCGCGACUCUCCGACGGCGUGAAACGAACGUCGAAACAGCAAGCGGAAUGAAGCAAGAGUCGAAACAACAACACGAAGGGAAGAGAGAGCCUACCAGCGACGGCGGAGGCGGAUUCGUUGGUAACAUCAGAUUGGAAAUUCAGUGAUAACUGAAAAUAAGCAGAAUCUUUAGCUUUUGUUUGAAGCCAAUUGAAGGUGAUGGAAAUGGAGGUUCGGCAGAGAACCAAGUCACGGUUAGCAGGAGAGAGAAAGGGAGGGAAAAGAAAAAAUGGAGAAAAAGAAGAAGAAUCCCGGAAAUUUUCUGAUUUGCGUAUUUAUAUUAGUGAGUUCAAUCUGCAUUUUGGAAUUCUCUCGUCGUUCAUGCCGCUUUCAAAUUCUAUUAGCUGCGUUUUCAUGUGCGAAUUGGGUGGUGUUGUUUGGAAGCUUCUUUCUUGGCUUAUGCGUUGUAAAUGAGCUUCUUGUUGUCGUUUGCCACUACUUUGGAUUUUGGCUUGUGAAUGAGCUGCAAUUUGGAAGAGUGUAGCAGCUUGCGUUUUGCAUUUUGCGUUUCACUGCAUUUUUAGUUUCUUAUUUUUUUCACCGUCAUCGUUUUGGGUCGUUAUUGUCGUUCACGUUGUAGCAGCGACUUUGUUUAGUGCAUUGGCUCGCGUUUGUUAUUUCUGCUUGGUAUGCAGCUUGCAGCGUUUUUGUACCGUUGGCUGCAACUUGAAUUUGGCUCGACAGCUUUUCAAUUGCUUUGUUGUUUGACUUU